UCCUGGCACGCCGCCGAUACCGCCGCCCUCAGCCCUUAGCUUGCCACCCUCCUUCGGCUUGCGCUGCUGAGGGAUCGCUGGAGAGAAUGGGGAAGGGGAAGAAGUCGAAGGAGAAGGAGAUGGAGAAGAAACCGGUGGACAUCCUCGCGGGGUCCGACGAGGACUCCGACGGCGGGGAGGAUCUCUCCAAGGUCCAGAUCAACGAGGAGUACGCGCGCCGCUUCGAGCACAACAAGCGGCGGGAGGCGCUGCAGCGCCUCGAGGAGCGCAGGAAGCAGGGCCUCGUCCCCGCCUCUGACGACGGCGAGUCGGAUUCCGAGUCCGAGUCGUCUGAGGAGGACGAGGAGGCCGCCAUUGCCUCGCGCCUCGUCGACCGCCGCGUGUUCGAGGUGAUCCGCCGCAUCCGCAGCGGUGACCCUCGCAUCCUAGACAAGGACGCCAAGGUCUACUCGGAGUCGGAGGAGGAAGAGGGCAGCGAAGAAGGUGAGGGCGCCGAGAAGGAAGAAGAGUUCAAGCAGGGGAAGAAAAAGGCCAAGAAGGAGAAGCCUCUGUACCUCAAGGACGUCAAUGCCCGCCACCUGCUCGAGGAGGGCCCGGAGUUCGCAGCGCAGGCCAGCCGGAGCAGCAGCAAGUUCGAGAGGAUCUCCUAUGAUGAGCAGCAGAAGAAGGGUUUGGAGGCUUUCCUUGAGGCACAGAAAGAAGUAUUACGCGGCGACGACGACGACGACGAUUUGUUCCAGGUGAAGCCCAAGGCUAGAGCAGGGGCUGAUGAUGAAGUGGAGGAGGAUGAGGAGGAGAAGCAGACCAAGGAACUUGCUGGUAAGGUCUUUGGGAACGAUGAGGAGCUGGAUGAGAACGAGAAGUUCUUGAAGGAAUUUUUCCUUAAGAGGCCCUACCUUGAGGCAGAGAAGAGGAAGUCCUAUCUGGAUGAUAUCCAGGAAUUAUCAGAUGAUGAAGAGGAGCUCGAGAUUCAGGAAGAAAAUGAGCAUGGUUAUAAUUACCGGCAUGAGGAGGCCAUGGCAUCAGGGGCAGUGGUGGCGGACCGGGUAAUGGGACAUUCAAGGGUUGUUGAGGGGUCAGUGAGGAAGAAGGAGAGCAGCAGGAAGCAGCAGCGCAAGAGCAAAGAGGAGCGGAUGGCCCGUGUUAAGCAAGAGCAGGCAGAGGAGCUGAAGCAUCUCAAGAAUUUGAAGAAGAAAGAGAUUGCAGAGAAGCUUGAGAGGAUCCUAAUGAUUGCUGGGAUUGAAGGUGAUGCUGCGUGUAAGCUUGGUGCUGAUGACUUGGAGGAGGAUUUUGAUCCAGAGGAUUAUGACAAGAAAAUGCAGGAGAUGUUUGAUGACAGUUACUAUGAGGCUGAUGAUGUUGAUCCUGAGUUUGGAAGUGGUGAGGAGAUGGAUUUGAAGAAGCCAUAUUUUGACAAGGAAGAUGAAUUGCUUGGGCUUCCUAAGGGCUGGGCUAGUGAACAUUCAAAAGAAGAGUCUACUGCCACCGAUGCAAAAGGUGCAAAAGGGAAGAUCUCUCUCAAAGACAAGGUGGAGCUUGAGAAAGAGAUGGAAGAGUACUACAAGUUAGACUAUGAGGACACUAUUGGAGAUAUCAAGACUCGGUUCAAGUAUAAACAGGUUAAGCCCAACAGUUUUGGUCUGAGUGCCUGUGAUAUAUUGGAAGCAGAUGACAAGGAUUUGAACCAGUAUGUAUCCAUUAAGAAGCUAUCUCCUUAUAGAGAGGAUGAAUGGAAGGUUACACAUCAUAAGAGGCAGAGCAAGGAUUUCAUCCUUGGAGGCCAGAAGAAAGGGAAGAAGGACAAAUCUGUCAAGAAAUCUAGGUCUGAGGAAGGCGGCCCUAGUUCUUCAAAAACAGAGAAAGACAGGCUGACAAAUGGGCAAGAGUCAACGGAUGACAAGAAAAAGACUACCCGAAGUGAGCGAAGGAAGCGUCGUAAGGCUGACCUAAAGAUAUCCGAUGAUCGAUUAGUGGCAUUUGGAAAGACAAAUUCGAAGCGUCACAAGAGCCAUUGACUUUCUGAGAUUCAUCUAAGUACAUCUGGGGAAUUUUGCGGAUACUCGAUACUGCAUAAACUGGUGCACUACUGUAUUAUCUGCUGCUAGUCUCGAAACCAAUGGAUCAGAUAGCUGAUGAAGUGAUGGUUUAUCUUCUGUAUCCUUGGAAAUAACUGAUGGCGCUUCAGCUGGAGAUACUCCAUUAACUGAGAAAACAAAUGAAGGGCUCUAGUCCAGUUGGCUAGAGAAUCCUGGCGGCACCCCGCAGGUCUUGGGUUCGACUCUCCAUGGGAUCAAAUUUCAGACUGGGUUAAAAAAAUCUCCUCGUCCGCUCCACACCAAAGCACAGGUCUUGAGGGCCGGCCCAGUUCUCACAUGGGCAACGAUUUCCGCUAUGU